GGCCUCAGUGUGUGAAGCCACAUGACUAGGGAAUAAAAAACUGAGAUGACUAGUACAUCCCCUAAAUAUAAAGUGUGAAACGAUGACCAAGACUAAACCUCACAUCGGCAAAUAUGAGUUUCUAGUUUUAGUCCUCCCCAGGAUAUCCACCUUCCAUGGCUUUGCUAUAUACCCCGCCAUUAUUUUCUAAUUAAAACCACUACCAAGGAAAGAACCAAUCCAUUAACCAUUUAUUAGGCCAUUAGUAG
rnacentral:lncRNA from 1 species